CAACCCUCAGGCUCCGCCUGGCGUUGGGGACCUGCGCACGCAGCCCCCGAAAGACAGCGGCGGGUGCGCCCUGGAAUCGAACGCAGUAGCUUCUUCUCGUUCUGGUUCGGGGCGCUCUCCGGCCGUAAAACACCCCCUCAA
rnacentral:misc_RNA from 1 species